rnacentral:tRNA from 1 species
GGCUGGGUGGCUCAGUGGUUAGAGCCUAGUGCUCGUAACCGAAGGGUUCAGAGUUCGAACCUCGCAAGGGGCA